rnacentral:rRNA from 1 species
UACGAAGGGGGCUAGCGUUGCUCGGAAUCACUGGGCGUAAAGGGUGCGUAGGCGGGUCUUUAAGUCAGGGGUGAAAUCCUGGAGCUCAACUCCAGAACUGCCUUUGAUACUGAGGAUCUUGAGUUCGGGAGAGGUGAGUGGAACUGCGAGUGUAGAGGUGAAAUGCGUAGAUAUCAGGAGGAACACCGGUGGCGAAGGCGCUCAUCUGGCCCAAUACUGACGCUGAAGCGCGAAAGCUAGGGGAGCAAACGGG